AACGAAGAGGGUUAGGGGCGUGUACUANGGUAUAACUAAUAUAAAAUAAGGGCUACUUUUUAAUUGAGAGUGAAAUCUAAUUUUUAUAUAACCUUAAUCAAGAAAUUAUGAAAGCUAUAGAACAACUA
rnacentral:rRNA from 1 species